rnacentral:tRNA from 1 species
GGGGCUAUAGCUCAGUUGGUAGAGCGUCUCGUUCGCAAUGAGAAGGUCAGCGGUUCGAUUCCGCUUAGCUCCACCA